GUGGUAAUGCCGGAUGCUCCAGUUGACCGCAUGGUCCUCUGGGAAAGCUUUUGCGGUAUGGGAUGGGGUCGCGUCCUAUCAGCUUGAUGGCGGGGUAACGGCCCACCAUGGCUUCGACGGGUAGCCGGCCUGAGAGGGCGACCGGCCACAUUGGGACUGAGAUACGGCCCAGACUCCUACGGGAGGCAGCAGUGGGGAAUAUUGCACAAUGGGCGCAAGCCUGAUGCAGCGACGCCGCGUGCGGGAUGACGGCCUUCGGGUUGUAAACCGCUUUUGACUGGGAGCAAGCCCUUCGGGGUGAGUGUACCUUUCGAAUAAGCACCGGCUAACUACGUGCCAGCAGCCGCGGUAAUACGUAGGGUGCAAGCGUUAUCCGGAAUUAUUGGGCGUAAAGGGCUCGUAGGCGGUUCGUCGCGUCCGGUGUGAAAGUCCAUCGCUUAACGGUGGAUCCGCGCCGGGUACGGGCGGGCUUGAGUGCGGUAGGGGAGACUGGAAUUCCCGGUGUAACGGUGGAAUGUGUAGAUAUCGGAA
rnacentral:rRNA from 1 species